GACGAACGCUGGCGGCGUGCUUAACACAUGCAAGUCGAACGGAAAGGCCCUGCUUUUGUGGGGUGCUCGAGUGGCGAACGGGUGAGUAACACGUGAGUAACCUGCCCUUGACUUUGGGAUGACUUCAGGAAACUGGGGCUAAUACCGGAUAGGAGCUCCUGCUGCAUGGUGGGGGUUGGAAAGUUUCGGCGGUUGGGGAUGGACUCGCGGCUUAUCAGCUUGUUGGUGGGGUAGUGGCUUACCAAGGCUUUGACGGGUAGCCGGCCUGAGAGGGUGACCGGCCACAUUGGGACUGCGAUACGGCCCAGACUGCUACGGGAGGCAGCAGUGGGGAAUAUUGCACAAUGGGCGGAAGCCUGAUGCAGCAACGCCGCGUGCGGGAUGACGGCCUUCGGGUUGUAAACCGCUUUCGCCUGUGACGAAGCGUGAGUGACGGUAAUGGGUAAAGAAGCACCGGCUAACUACGUG
rnacentral:rRNA from 1 species